AUGUUUCAUCUUCCAAUGUCCUCGGUUGCUGUACAACAAAGUCAAGAACUGCACAGCAUGUUAACUGAAGGAUUCAACAACAGCAAUAGAGACACUUGGCACUUCAAGUGGCAGUGUAAGCACUAUUCCAAUAAAAGAAUAUAUCUACAUCUUAUUGGUGACCCACCUGAGGCCCCAAAGCAUUUUCAAUGGAUUUGGAAAUCCAACUGCCUACCAAAACAAAAGUUCUUCUUUUGGCUGUUGCUGCUGGAUAGACUUAAUACCAGAGAUUUGCUGGUGAGGAAAAACUCCUACAUUGAAGAGAGCAGUUGUGUUCUUUGUGAGGAGGAACCCAAUGAAUGUCUUCAACAUCUUUUCUUCAGCUGUGAUUUCAGUCAAUUUUUUUGGAUGAAUUUGGAUUGUAAUGGAACAUUGACCUGA
rnacentral:rRNA from 1 species